rnacentral:sRNA from 1 species
CAAUGAGAACUGAAGGCUUCUGUUUCUUCAGAGGAAACAUGAGGACGGCAGUGGCCAUACAUGCUUCCUUCAUGGCCACCCUCCCUGCAGCCUCAUCUAAGCAGGAACAACUUCUAGAGGGGACAGGGAAGGAGGAUAUCCUCUAUUACCCCUGGGGUCC